rnacentral:lncRNA from 1 species
CCCGCAGCCCUCAGCUGAGCCCGGCCCCGAGGGGCUCCGGCCUCCAGCCCGCUGCGGGACUCGCCGGGCCGCUACCCGCAAUGGCCAUGCCCGGGGGUCGUGGGGUCUCCACAGCCCGCGGCCUCGCCAGCCUCACACCUCACACGCCUCGAUCCUGCCUUGCGGCCCGCGUCGGAGCAGGGACACGCAGGAAUGAGACCCUCGGUGGUUCCUUCCCCCGCCAGGUGCCUGCCCUUGGCACUUUGUCACACGUGGGAGCUGGCGAAGCACCGGUGCAGCCUCGCCACUCUGAACAGGAGUAUUCGGCAUGAAAAGCAGAGUUAGUUGUUCCGCGAGCAGCCAGCACACCAAAUCACAAAUGUUUUAAAGAGGAACGGAGUUGGGAGCAGCAUCCCCUUUCCAAGUGAGAACUGAACCCUGCACUCUCUGGAGUCCUUCACUACGGCUUGGCUGGCUGGGUAGUAGCUGAUGGAUGAGUGUCCUUCCUGGCCAGCCACUGUGCUUUUUCUCCUGCACUCCCAGCAGAGAAUGAGAGACCAAGGAUGUUCCAUGUGCCCCUGUGGAGCACAGCUGCACUGCCAAAUGAAGAUGUGCUCUGGUCUCACACUUGUGCUGAAGUUCAAGGCAAGAAUACCAGUAAGGCAGGACAGGAAUCACCCUGGACAUGUGUGUCCCAACCCCUGUAGCCACAACAGCACCCUGGUGGCUGCUUUCUCCACCUGCAUGUUUCUCAGCAUCUGCCUUUUGUGGCUCUCCAGUGGCUGCACUGUCACUUUAUUCCCUGUGAAGUUUGGUCCUUAACACAUCAGUGAAGCUCAGAGAGUUUUAUUCCCUGCUAGAAAAGUGUUCACUUGACAACCUUUAGGGAAACUGAAAUUAGUGAAUGCAUUUGAUGUCCACACUCAACUGCUGUUUCUUGGGAUGCUCCUUUUCUGUUUCAUGAGGGCCAUAUCCUGCAAUUGGGUCUGCUGUGGUGUGCAUACCAAUAUACUCAUUAUGUAUAUCCUUUUCUAUAUGGUUGUAUGUGUUGCUGACAAACCUUAUUUGCUCUAUAUGUUUUGGUUUUAAAUAUGACAGAAGAGAGAGAGCAUGACAAUUCUUGUAACCUUUGUUAGCUACUUGGUGUGUCUAAUUUUUGCAAAUAAGCUGGAUUACAGAAAGCAAAAUUUAACAUUUGGAUGUGCUCAAACUAAAAAUGUUAUGUCUUCUCAUUGGUAAGGCCCACUUUAUAGAGGCUGUACCUUGAGUUUCUCUACAGUUGAAGUCCACAGACAAUAAGCUCUUUUGUGUCCAAUCUGGCUGAAAUGCAUUGAAAAAGUUGUAUUCCUUUUCUGCUUCAUUAACCAAUGGAAUAAAAGGUUGCUGUUUAUAGCA